GGAGAGGUGCGAGAGUGGCUGAAUCGGCACGACUGGAAAUCGUGUGAACCUUCGGGUUCCGAGGGUUCGAAUCCCUCCCUCUCCGCCA
rnacentral:tRNA from 1 species